rnacentral:rRNA from 1 species
UGGUGGCGAUAGCGAGAAGGAUACACCUGUAACCAUGCCGAACACAGAAGUUAAGCUUCUUAGCGCCGAUUGUAGU